CUGGAGGUCAGGAGAUGGGAAGGGAACCAAGGGCUCCUGAGACCUGAGGCUGUGCUGCCUGCACCUGUCCCGCCUCCUCACUUUGCACAAUGAGAUAGCUGACCUUUUCUAUUUCAUCUUGUUUUUUUUCCUGCACCCCACUUGGCUUGGCAACCAUAAAUCCACACCAUUUCCUCCUUGGCAUUUCUUGAAUGUAUCCCGCUCAAAUUAACAACUCAAAAGCAGGAGGCCCGGUAGACCUUGAAAUGUUCCGCUUGCCUUCUGGCCUUGGCAGCUGGCUUGACAGGUCCCACCGGCUCUCCUGGGAGAGUGGGCAGCUGACAAAUCCGGAGGCCCUGAAACCUUCCUUCCACAUUAUUCACAACAGCCAAGAUUUGGAAGCAACCCAAGUGCCCAUUGACUGAUGAAUGGAUAAAGAAGAUGUAGCAGGCCAGCCCAGUGGCACAGC
rnacentral:lncRNA from 1 species